ensembl:lncRNA
GCUCAAUGGAGUUUGCUGCCUUUUGUAAACAAUUAGCAUGACAAGCUUAUUUCCAGCUCUGCUGAGAGCGAGUGAGUCCUUGUGCUUAAACGGUUGAAGGAUAGAGGAGAUGUUCCCACUUAGUCCGGUUUACUGUAAACUUGUCUUUAUGAGGGGUACUGGCAAACUGACAAGUGUAACUUAUCCAGUGGUAGUAUCAAGAUGCAAAUGCUUUUGUUUCCUUUGAGUUUCAAUGUGCAUCUUUAACAAUGUUUCUGCGCUGCAAUAGUGAUGUUGGGUUUUUCAUUUUUCCAACUGCGUUAUAGCCACUGGCUGCUCCUCACUAUGUUUUAUUGUUUAGGUACACCGCUCACUUAUACAUAUGAGUAUGUAUACAUACAUUAAUAUACUAAAGCACUAUUAAUGUGCCACCUGUUAUUCUACUCGCUCAGCAUUUAUAUUAAAUGAUCUACUUAGAAUCGGCAAAAUGUUUUUUUUUGUUUUGUUUUCUGUCCACUUGUUGCCAACACAGACUUUAUCCUUUCCCAGACGAAGGACUUCUGUGCGCAUUGAUGUCUGUUCACUUAAUCUUUUGUGUUCAAACAAACAUGUUCUUUAUAGACUAUGCUUCCGAAGAAGACAAAAUGUUGUUCCUUUGGAAAGUUUCUUGUGUGUUAGAUUGUAUUGUAGAAAAUGUAACCGGAUUUAAGUUGUUUUUCCUCAAAGUGUGCUGUACUGGCUAAUAGUGUUCAGGUCUAAGAAUGGUGUUGGGGGAUUGUUUUCCUACUCAACUCCUAAAACAUUCAGGAUUUCUUUGAAAGGUUGGCCUUACAUUCUCCCACCAUGCCCCUCCAUGCUCUAGGAGCAUGAAGUGACAACAAUUUAACAGAAAUUGCUAUAUUGUUCUAUAGAAAUCUCUCAAAAUUGUGUGUAUUAUUUUGUAAGGCGAUGUCAUAGAUGAGGUGUAGUUUUCGGCAGUAGUUGAUUGAUUUUACUGGCCUUUGGUUCAUGGGGAAAAGAAGAAAGAGUAACCCUAAACUAGUUUGAGUUACUUCCUUUUUGAAGUGGGGGAGGCAAUUAUGAAAAGACCACAGGUCCCAAAUUUAUAGAAUGACUCUAUUUCUAAGUAUUGUUGUAUGUGGGUCCUGCAGUUUUACUGAACAAUGUUUAUCUUAAAAUAAUGCAUAUUCAAUUGUAGUUUACAAAACAACAUUAGCAACAUUACUCAGAGCUUUCAUUUUUCAGUGAAAUUGCUGCCUAGACCUACUUUCUCUGGCCUCUAUCCCAAUUUGACCUCUGAACUCUGUUACUGCUGUUUGAGGCUCACACUUAAAUCCCUGACUUUCUGGGGAAGUUCGCAGAUGGAUUUUUAUAUGAGUGCUCCCUUGUAAAAUAUCUCUUAAAUUAAGGUACAAGUUUGAUUUCAGCAAGAAGAAAGUUUUUAUAUGUAUAUUAUACUCCAUUAAGGAAUGUCUAGAAUUAUCUUCCUCCAAUGUGGAUGUAGCCAUUAUUACGCCAUUUUAUGACUUUGUAAGAGAAUUCACUGUGUGAAAAUUGGUCUGCAUUUUUGUAUAAUACAAUCUGCUGUUUUUUCUUUUGUUUGAUAAGAGAGGGAGGUCAAACUGGAAGUUUGAAGAAAGGAAAAAAUGAACCUGUGAAAUUGAAAUAACAAAAUGUAACUUAUGUGCAACAGUGAUUUUAAGCUGAGGGAGAAAAUAUUAAAUGAUAUUGCUAAUUCUGAUUGUGUGUUUUUGAGUUUUAAUGCUUUAAUUAUUUACACCAGAC